rnacentral:rRNA from 1 species
UACGGGGGGGGCGAGCGUUGUCCGAAGUUACUGGGCGUAAAGCGCGUGUAGGCGGGUUGUUAAGUCCGCUGUGAAAGACCCGGUGCUCAACGGCCGGAGGGUCGGUGGAUACUGGCAGUCUUGAAGUGGCUGAGGGGGAAAUGGAAUUACCGGUGUAGCUGGUGGAAAUGCGCAGAUAAUCAGGAGGAACACCAAUGGCGAAGGCAGCACUCGUGGGACGUGACUGACGCUGAGACGCGAAAGCGUGGGGAGCAAAACAGGG